rnacentral:tRNA from 1 species
UCCCCGAUAGCGCAACUGGUAGAGCGCCCGCCUCUGGAGCGGGAGGUUGUUGGUUCGAAUCCAGCUCGGGGAG